CAUUGAAACACUGGUUCCUGUAUGAUCACUGAAGUUAAGCAAUGCUGAGCCUUGUCAGUACCUAGAUGGUGACUGCUUGGAAAUAUCAGGUGCUGUAAG
rnacentral:rRNA from 1 species